rnacentral:snRNA from 1 species
GUGCUUGCUUCGGCAGCACAUAUACUAAAAUUGGAACGAUACAGAGAAGAUUAGCAUGGCCCCUGCACAAGGAUGACACGCAAAUUCAUGAAGUGUUAAAAAAAAAA